GUGGGGAAUCUUAGACAAUGGGGGAAACCCUGAUCUAGCCAUGCCGCGUGAGCGAUGAAGGCCUUAGGGUUGUAAAGCUCUUUCAGCUGGGAAGAUAAUGACGGUACCAGCAGAAGAAGCCCCGGCUAACUCCGUGCCAGCAGCCGCGGUAAUACGGAGGGGGCUAGCGUUGUUCGGAAUUACUGGGCGUAAAGCGCGCGUAGGCGGACCAGAAAGUUGGAGGUGAAAUCCCAGGGCUCAACCUUGGAACUGCCUUCAAAACUCCUGGUCUGGAGUUCGAGAGAGGUGAUGAGAAUUCCGAGUGUAGAGGUGAAAUUCGUAGAUAUUCGGAGGAACACCAGUGGCGAAGGCGGCUCACUGGCUCGAUACUGACGCUGAGGUGCGAAAGCGUGGGGAGCAAACAGGAUUAGAAACCCGUGUAGUCC
rnacentral:rRNA from 1 species